ensembl:lncRNA
UUUUUUUGUUUGUUUUUUUUUUUCAGAAUCUUAUUCCUUUGUUCCCUCUUUUUCAUUCACUUUCUGUCAGGGCUUUUCCCCCUCAUUUCAGUGUAGCUUCAGUCAUCUUCAUGCUUAUUUUUCUUCCUCUGCUAUUCUCAGACAGUAUACACAGUCUGAAAUACAAACAUCUUUUUUUUCCUCUACCUACCAACAUGACCUCCUGGUAAAUUAUUCCACUAAUCCCAACAAAGAUCACAGAAUCCUUUCAAAGCCUUACUCUAUUCUGGCAACGAAACAAAAUUUUUAUUUCUUUUGUGAUCUUUGUCCAUUCAGGGUGGAAGAGGCCAAGUGUAGUUGCAAGCAAAAAUCAGUCCUGACAGUCUCAAGUUUUGUUCAUAGUUAUGUACUUUAUUGUCUCUUUGACUUAUUCUGAAGUGUUCUUCUCACUGAAUUGCAGCAUUCAUUGUUUUUCAUUUCAGAAAUACCCACCUCAUGUCAUUCCAUAGGAUAGUGUGGAAAUAGUGCAUUUCUUUGAUGUCUGACUGCAUUGCACCCGACACAAUGCAAUUCAUUUAAGUUUCAAUACAGCUACUGUAAUAAAAGGGCAAGAAGGAACAGAAGUAUCUGGGAUGUGCAGGGCAACUUACAGGAUUGUAUCUGAUCUGAUUGCAGAACUUCAUGUCAGAAUUGUAUUUUCUCCUUCAGGGCAUGCUGUUAAGGCACAUCCCAGCCACUCCUCCCUGUCAUUCUUAACAUGUAGGGGAAGUACAAGCUGCAGGGAGCAGCUGGAGCAGGAUCAGCAGAAGAGACAUUUUUGUGAACAUGUCAUUGUUCAGCCUUUUCAUCUCUGAGACUGAACACUUGAUACAAAUCUUGUACUUUGAGGCUCCUGCUGCUUCUUGCUUAUCAUCAUUCUCUAAUGAAAGAAGAAUGAAGUGUGGAAAAAUGGUGGUAAUUUGGCAAGAGACAGCCAAGAGCUAGAAAGCCAGCACAUCCAUCUGUUGAUCCUGGAGCUGUCCGUGGUUGUGUUUUCUGGUGUUUUGUCUAUUCCGUCUCCUCAGCAGUUCAUAGUUCUGUUGGUAUAGUUUGUCCAAAUAGCUCGGACCAUCUGAGGACUUUAGUUAAGAUUUUAUUUUUUUGGAUAUAGAAAUUGACACACACAAAUUAUAUACUUUAAAAUACAAUAAUAAUUGCAAAGGUGUAAACAUUUGUUCAUUUAACAUGUGACAAAAUUGUCACAGCUCCUACCAGCUCCUUAAUAUCUGUGAGAUAAAAGCAUAUGAAUUGACAAUAUUCACAUUUUGAAAUUUUUUAGCACAGGUGUGGGAGCUCCACUGCAACAUCUUGCAUCAGAAGAGUUGAGAAGCAGGCAGUUAAUCCUCUUCCAGCUUUUUUGCAGUUUGAGGUUUUACAGAUUCAUAGGUUAUUCCACAGUGCUGUUCCCUCAUAACUGGUGAGAAAUGUCUCUAGCUGUAUUCCUGACUAGAUGGGGGUGUUGCUGUAGUGAUGAUGUUUUGAAUUGUUCACACACUGCUGUUCAGUGUGUGAUAUAUGUAUUUUAAUUCAAGGUUGUCUCCCUUAAUAGCACACCAGUUCUGACAACUCCACUGUUGGGAAGAUUAUGACAGAGGUUUUAGGUACUAUUCUGUACAUGGAUUUUACAUGACCCUUCUGUGUCAGAGAUUCAAAAUAUCUGUAUCAUCAGAGAUUUUGAUUUAUGAGUAUUUCCUAGUUUUGUAGGUGUCUGUGAAAAGGACAGAGAUUUGCAGCUCCCCCAUGAGCUGAGAUGUCAUCCUUGUACAAGGAAUUAAGCUGUAGAUGGAUGUUUUGAGGCACUCAAAAAGGAAAUGUAUAGAGAUAAAUCAGCAAAAACAUUUAGAAAACUAACACAGAGCAUAUCUGGAAAGCCUGUGAGAAAAAUCAAGUUGCAAAAUUCCAGGACAAUGAUGAAUGCAACAAGGAGACCACUGAGAAUAUUUUGGGCAAAGACUAAUUUUUAGAGAUGCAGACAGAAGAAUUGCAGACCUAACUCUUGAAUUCUUAGUAGCAUGCAUAUUGUUUGCAGUUCGAGGAUUGUGUGAUGUUUGGACAGUGAAACACAUAAA